rnacentral:tRNA from 1 species
CAUUAGAUGACUGAAAGUAAGUACUGGUCUCUUAAACCAUUUUAUAGUAGUCUAACAUCUACUUCUAAUGA